rnacentral:rRNA from 2 species
UGACUUGAGGAAGGUAGGGGAGAAUGGAAUUCCUGGUGGAGCGGUGGAAUGCGCAGAUAUCAGGAGGAACACCAGUGGCGAAGGCGGUUCUCUGGGCCUUUCCUGACGCUGAGGAGCGAAAGCGUGGGGAGCGAACAGGCUUAGAUACCCUGGUAGUCCACGCUGUAAACGGUGGGUACUAGGUGUGGGGUCCAUUCCACGGGUUCCGUGCCGUAGCUAACGCUUUAAGUACCCCGCCUGGGGAGUACGGCCGCAAGGCUAAAACUCAAAGGAAUUGACGGGGCCCCGCACAAGCGGCGGAGCAUGCGGAUUAAUUCGAUGCAACGCGUAGAACCUUACCUGGGUUUGACAUGGAUCGGGAGUGCUCAGAGAUGGGUGUGCCUCUUUUGGGGUCGGUUCACAGGUGGUGCAUGGCUGUCGUCAGCUCGUGUCGUGAGAUGUUGGGUUAAGUCCCGCAACGAGCGCAACCCUUGUUCACUGUUGCCAGCACGUUAUGGUGGGGACUCAGUGGAGACCGCCGGGGUCAACUCGGAGGAAGGUGGGGAUGACGUCAAGUCAUCAUGCCCCUUAUGUCCAGGGCUUCACGCAUGCUACAAUGGCUGGUACAGAGAGUGGCGAGCCUGUGAGGGUGAGCGAAUCUCGGAAAGCCGGUCUCAGUUCGGAUUGGGGUCUGCAACUCGACCUCAUGAAGUCGGAGUCGCUAGUAAUCGCAGAUCAGCAACGCUGCGGUGAAUACGUUCCCGGGGCUUGUACACACCGCCCGUCAAGUCAUGAAAGUUGGUAACACCCGAAGCCGGUGGCCUAACCGUUGUGGGGGAGCCGUCGAAGGUGGGACUGGUGAUUAGGACUAAGUCGUAACAAGGUAGCCGUACCGGAAGGUGCGGCUG